rnacentral:rRNA from 1 species
CCUACGGGUGUCAGCAGUGGGGAAUCUUCCGCAAUGGGCGAAACCCUGACGGAGCAACGCCGCGUGAUCGAAUGAAGGCCUUCGGUUUGUAAAGAUCUGUUUACAGGGACGAAUAAGCAAUGCGUAUAGUUUUGUGUCUGACGGUACCUGUUUAGACAGCUCCGGCUAACACCUGGCCAGCAGCCGCGCUAAUAAUGAGGGAGCAAGCGUUGUCCGGAAUUACUAGGCGUAAAGGGAGCGUAGGUGGGCGAUUAAGUCAGGUGUGAAAACUUCGGGCUCAACCUUGAGACUGCACUUGAAACUGGGUGUCUUGAGGGUAGGAGAGGAAGGUGGAAUUCCUAGUGGAGCGGUGAAAUGCGUAGAUAUUAGGAGGAAGACCAGUGGCGAAGGCGACUUUCUGGACUGUACCUGACGCUGAGGCGCGAAAGCGUGGGUAGCGAACGGGAUUAGAUACCCUUGUAGUC